AACGAACGCUGGCGGCAGGCUUAACACAUGCAAGUCGAACGCCCCGCAAGGGGAGUGGCAGACGGGUGAGUAACGCGUGGGAACGUGCCCUUCGCUUCGGAAUAGCCCCGGGAAACUGGGAGUAAUACCGGAUACGCCGUAUUGGGAAAGAUUUAUCGGCGAAGGAUCGGCCCGCGUUGGAUUAGCUAGUUGGAGGUGUAAUGGACCCCCAAGGCUACGAUCCAUAGCUGGUCUGAGAGGAUGAUCAGCCACACUGGGACUGAGACACGGCCCAGACUCCUACGGGAGGCAGCAGUGGGGAAUCCUGGACAAUGGGCGCAAGCCUGAUCCAGCCAUGCCGCGUGAGUGAAGAAGGCCUUAGGGUUGUAAAACUCUUUCGCCGGAGAAGAUAAUGACGGUAUCCGGAGAAGAAGCCCCGGCUAACUUCGUGCCAGCAGCCGCCGUAAAAC
rnacentral:rRNA from 1 species